rnacentral:misc_RNA from 1 species
GUCAAAUACCAUUUUCUCUUCAAAAUUGUACAUUCUUAAGCACACUGGAUGUUAGUGAAAAUGAACUGAUCGGCCACAUUCCAACAUGGAUGGGGAAAAGGCUUUUGGAUUUGGUUAUUCUCAACCUUCGCGCUAAUAAGUUUCGUGGCCAUAUCCCUAAGCAUCUUUGUUAUUUGGCUUCUUUGCAUAUUCUAGACCUUUCUCAUAAUUCUCUCUCUGGAACCAUCCCAACCUGUGUUAAAAACUUCAGUUCAAUGGCUACAAUUGAUUCUGCAACCCAAUUUUUUACUAUGUAU